rnacentral:rRNA from 1 species
CCUACGGGAGGCAGCAGUCGGGAAUAUUGCGCAAUGGAGGAAACUCUGACGCAGUGACGCCGCGUAUAGGAAGAAGGUUUUCGGAUUGUAAACUUCUGUUCUUAGUGAAGAAUAAUGACGGUAGCUAAGGAGCAAGCCACGGCUAACUACGUGCCAGCAGCCGCGGUAAUACGUAGGUGGCAAGCGUUGUCCGGAAUUACUGGGUGUAAAGGGAGCGCAGGCGGGAAGCCAAGUCAGCUGUGAAAACUACGGGCUUAACUUGUAGACUGCAGUUGAAACUGGUUUUCUUGAGUGAAGUAGCGGUU